rnacentral:rRNA from 1 species
AUACGUAGGUGACAAGCGUUAUCCGGAUUUACUGGGUGUAAAGGGCGUGUAGGCGGUUUAGCAAGUCAGAAGUGAAAUUCCCGGGCUUGACUUGGGCGCUGCUUCUGAAACUGCUUUACUUGAGUGCUGGAGAGGAUAGUGGAAUUCCUAGUGUAGCGGUAAAAUGCGCAGAUAUUAGGAGGAACACCGGUGGCGAAGGCGGCUAUCUGGACAGUAACUGACGCUGAGGCGCGAAAGCACGGGGAGCAAACAGGAUUAGAUACCCUGGUAGUCCGUGCCGUAAACGAUGAAUACUAGGUGUAGGGGGUAUCGACUCCCUCUGUGCCGCAGUUAACACAUUAAGUAUUCCACCUGGGGAGUACGGCCGCAAGGUUGAAACUCAAAUGAAUUGACGGGG